GACGAACGCUGGCGGCGUGCCUAAUACAUGCAAGUUGAGCGAUGAAGAUUGGUGCUUGCCCCAAUUUGAAGAGCAGCGAACGGGUGAGUAACGCGUGGGGAAUCUGCCUUUGAGCGGGGGACAACAUUUGGAAACGAAUGCUAAUACCGCAUAACAACUUUAAACAUAAGUUUUAAGUUUGAAAGAUGCAAUUGCAUCACUCAAAGAUGAUCCCGCGUUGUAUUAGCUAGUUGGUGAGGUAAAGGCUCACCAAGGCGAUGAUACAUAGCCGACCUGAGAGGGUGAUCGGCCACAUUGGGACUGAGACACGGCCCAAACUCCUACGGGAGGCAGCAGUAGGGAAUCCUCGGCAAUGGACGAAAGUCUGACCGAGCAACGCCGCGUGAGUGAAGAAGGUUUUCGGAUCGUAAAACUCUGUUGGUAGAGAAGAACGUUGGUGAGAGUGGAAAGCUCAUCAAGUGACGGUAACUACCCAGAAAGGGACGGCUAACUACGUG
rnacentral:rRNA from 1 species